CGCAUUGUGUUACCUCCUGGUACGAAAUGCGCCGUAUAAUUUGAUUAGACACAUUCUAAUGCCAAGUGUGAACUGAUGCACUUAGAGCUGCCCACUUGCGAUCGGAUCAACCAAGAAACAUGGCCAGCGGGUGCCGCAGGUGUGUUUAUCUUUCAUUUCAUAUGACUAUAUACCAUCAAGAUUUAGAAGAUGAUAUCUUGGUUGCUUAUAAAAACAUACCUCAAACAUACCUCACUGCAAGUUGUUGCAUAGUAUUCCUUUAAACUGGUGGGGUUUUGCAAGUAUAACUUUCAAAAAGUGUGUCUUGAGUUAAAUUAAAUUCACAUUAAAUCUUAAUGACACCAGAGAGGGUUUCUUGUCUCUCACACAGUGAGUAAAGUUCCAGCUGUUUUACAUCAUGUGGGGUGCUGUUUAUCAAGACUUGAGACCUCUGUACGUCUCGCAGACUGUAUUAAUGAGAAUGAAAAUGAUAUCAAAUGAUUGUAUCACAGCAAGGAGGAAAUGACAGAAGAAUCUCUGGAAUUGCAGGGGAGGGAGAAGAUUACAAGAACCACCCACUAGUUGUGUUUUUGGGAACAUCACUCUAUACAUGACUACAGUUGUCUGGCACCAAUAUACCCAUACAGUCUCAGAAGUGAAGACUGAAGCAGUUUGGCCGGCACAAUUACAGGAUAUAGCCCAUCUCCUACACCAUCUUGAGGACCACUUCAUCAAAACUACACUCACCUCAUGACACUGAAAGGAAAGAUCUCAAUACUUCAAACUGGAAAAUACUCGCCAAGAACCCUGGCUCUCUGUGGCCAGUCUAUUAAUCAGCAGCAUUUGCGAGACCACCUCUUGUGUAGAGCUUAACUCAGGUUUACGCUAAUAAGCCAUUUUUGAUGAAAAUCCUCGAUGAAAACUUACAUGCGCGCAUACUG